GACGAACCGUGCGAACGUUAUUCGGAAUCACUGGGCUUAAAGCGCGUGUAGGCGGGGCGGCAAGUCGGUCGCUGAAAGCCCCCGGCUCAACCGGGGAACGGGCGCCGAUACGACCGCCCUGGAGGGACGUAGGGGGACCUGGAACUUCCGGUGGAGCGGUGAAAUGCGUUGAGAUCGGAAGGAACGCCCGUGGCGAAAGCGAGGUCCUGGACGUCUGCUGACGCUGAGACGCGAAAGCCAGGGGAGCGAACGGG
rnacentral:rRNA from 1 species